UUGUGAGCGAUUUUGAGAGCGACUGAGAGAGGUGAGUGAUUGUGAGAGAGACGCGAUUGAAGAGUUUGAGGGAGGUGUGAGAUAGAGAGAGUCUGAGAACGAAGGUGAGGAUGGAGGACGACUGAGUUCACUUUUACUUUUUUUGUAUUUUUUUGUAUUUGCUCUUUAUUAAGCAGACAAUUGAAUCCCACUAAGUGACCGUUUAGAUUUCUCAAUUGGUCAUUAACUGUGGUUUGUUGGUAUUAGUUUUAGUUAAAUGCUAGUUUGUGUUCCCAAUCCUUAAUAUUUUGAACCCAACAGCCAGGCGACUAGGGUCACCUUGUGGGAUUCCUCCAUUUUAUUUUAAUUAAUCAUCCAUUAAAUAGACCACCCCAUUUUUAUUUUUAUUUUAAUUCAUACU
rnacentral:lncRNA from 1 species